AUACGGGGGGAGCAAGCGUUGUCCGGAAUCACUGGGCUUAAAGGGUACGUAGGCGGCCUAUCAAGUCAGGUGUGAAAUCCCACGGCUCAACCGUGGAACUGCGCUUGAAACUGAUAGGCUUGAGAGAGACAGGGGUGUGUGGAACUUCUCGUGGAGCGGUGAAAUGUGUUGAUAUGAGAAGGAACACCGGUGGCGAAGGCGACACACUGGGUCUUUUCUGACGCUGAGGUACGAAAGCUAGGGGAGCAAACAGGAUUAGAUACCCUAGUAGUCC
rnacentral:rRNA from 1 species